AUGACUAAGACUUGAGUCAGAAUAUUGACCUUCAGAAUAGGACUCCAAGACCCAGCUGCUUGUUUAUGUUGCCCCCAGAGGACAGGCAGAGCCCUGUUACUGCAGUGACUGGAAAUCAGAUGUGGGUUAGCAUUCCCUCCAUUUCUGUCCUGGCCCUCCCCUCCUGAAAAAGGAAGCACAGGUCUGAUUUGCUCAAGGCUGGGGGUAGGAAAAGGAAAGCCUUCCCAGGAGGUCUGCUGCUGAGCAAAGAAUCCCACAAGAUGCAGAUUUAGGCUCUGGCUACACCUGGGGUCCCAGGUCUACCCCACCCAGGUCCCUUCUGUAGCUGAGGCUAAGUACUGGUCACAUCCAUGUCUCUCUGCUAUCGGCCCUGGCCUGUCAUAGCAUUUUUCCGGAUUAAGCACUCAGAAACCAGUAAACAAACAGGGGAUCUAAUGUAGGUCUGUUCUUGGUUAUCAAAGGACCUAAUCUGAACAGGGUGUAAUAGAAAUCCCAGUCCAGGACUUUUCUCACGUGGGACUCAUUUCUUGACUCAGUGGGGCAAGCAGUGAGUGGAGGAGUUUUCACUAGGAAAGCCUGAAAGAUGUGAGCAAGGGACCUUUGGGAUGGUAUGAGACCAAAGUUAUGUUUUAAGUUUUAAUUAGUAUGUCCACAAGAUCCUUGAAACAAAAAUGCCUCUGACCUCUAAGCCCCUUGCCCGAGGACAGAUAGUUCCUGAAAUGCUGGAGGCUAUUGUUUAUGGGAGACAAUAAGUCAUGUGUUUGCACUCCCCUAAAGAAAGUCUAUUUGACUCAACUACACAGGGUAUGCUUGAUCACAUGUGGGCAGGAAGUAAAUAGGCUGGGAGUACAUCAGGAUAUAUGCUUGUCCUUGAUUGGACCUGAUGGGAAAUUUGGGCUUUGCCUUUUUAAGCCCCUGCUAACCAUGACUCAGGGUCAUUUACCUGGGAACCUGGAUAUGGACCCAGCCAGUGGCCAUUAACCUGAUGGCCACAUUCCUAUCGUGUCCUCACAUGACUGGAAGAGAGGAAGGAGGUCCUGGUUGAUGCCUCUUUCUAUAAGGAUGCUGGUCUCACCCUGGGGAGUCCACCUCAUGACCUCAUCAAGCCUCAUUACCUCCUAAAUACCACCAUUGACUGUGGCUUCAAUAGCAGUGUGUAAAUGGAAAAGAAGUGGGGAUGCCAGGCUAGCGACAGCACCUCAGCCAUCUGCAGAGCCUGGCGUCAGCCAACAGACUGCGUGAGAGCAUUCCCUGAGGGAAAGGUGCUGUGUCCAGCUGAGAGCAGAUGUCAACUGCUACAUAUUGAGGGAGAUGGCGAGACCCAGUAGGAAUGGUGACAGAGGCAGGCUAUCUGGGGGCAUUCCAGGCGGCCCCUUUCCCAGCUGUGCCACCUCCAACAAUUUACAUACCCCCCCACCCAUAAUGUACUUGUAUGAAAACACAGACACACACACACACACACACACACACA